rnacentral:tRNA from 1 species
GGGCGCUUGGUCUAGGGGUAUGAUUUUCGCUUCGCAUAUUCCAUGCGUACUUGUGAAAGGUCGUGGGUUCAAUUCCCACAGCGUCCA